GAGCGCCCUUUUCGGAGGGAGCGGCAGACGGGUGAGUAACGCGUGGGAACCUACCCAUUGGUACGGAACAACUCAUGGAAACGUGAGCUAAUACCGUAUAAGCGCUGAGGCGGAAAGAUUUAUCGCCGAUGGAUGGGCCCGCGCAGGAUUAGCUAGUUGGUGGGGUAAAGGCCUACCAAGGCGACGAUCCUUAGCUGGUCUGAGAGGAUGAUCAGCCACACUGGGACUGAGACACGGCCCAGACUCCUACGGGAGGCAGCAGUGGGGAAUAUUGGACAAUGGGCGCAAGCCUGAUCCAGCCAUGCCGCGUGAGUGAUGAAGGCCUUAGGGUUGUAAAGCUCUUUCACCCGUGACGAUAAUGACGGUAACGGGAGAAGAAGCCCCGGCUAACUUCGUGCCAGCAGCCGCGGUAAUACGAAGGGGGCUAGCGUUGUUCGGAAUCACUGGGCGUAAAGCGCACGUAGGCGGAUUGAUAAGUCAGGGGUGAAAUCCCGGGGCUCAACCUCGGCACUGCCUUUGAUACUGUCAGUCUUGAGUUCGGGAGAGGUGAGUGGAACUCCGAGUGUAGAGGUGAAAUUCGUAGAUAUUCGGAAGAACACCAGUGGCGAAGGCGGCUCACUGGCCCGAUACUGACGCUGAGGUGCGAAAGCGUGGGGAGCA
rnacentral:rRNA from 1 species